GACAGAGGGUGCAAACGUUGCUCGGAAUCACUGGGCGUAAAGGGCGUGUAGGCGGGAAGGAAAGUCGGGCGUGAAAUCCCUGGGCUCAACCCAGGAACUGCACUCGAAACUUCUUUUCUUGGGUGCCGGAGAGGAAAGCGGAAUACCUGGUGUAGAGGUGAAAUUCGUAGAUAUCAGGUGGAACACCAGUGGCGGAAAGGCGGCUUUCUGGGACGGUA
rnacentral:rRNA from 1 species